rnacentral:rRNA from 1 species
AACGAACGCUGGCGGCGUGACUUAGGCAUGCAAGUCGAACGAGAAAGUCGCAAGACGAGUACAGUGGCGAAAGGGUGAGUAAUGCUUGGGCAAUCUGCCCCAGGGACCGGGAUAGCUUCUGGAAACGGAAGGUAAUACCGGAUGGACUCGCGACGGCUGCGGCUGUUGCGAGUAAAGGUGGCCGCAAGGCUGCCACCCAGGGAGGAGCUCAAGUCCCACCAGGUAGUUGGUGAGGUAACGGCUCACCAAG